UACGGAGGGUGCAAGCGUUAAUCGGAAUUACUGGGCGUAAAGCGCACGCAGGUGGCUGAGUCAGUCGAUUGUGAAGCCCUGGGCUUAACCUGGGAAUUGCAGUCGAUACUACUCAGCUAGAGUAUGGGAGAGGGUAGUGGAAUUCCCGGUGUAGCGGUGAAAUGCGUAGAUAUCGGGAGGAACAUCAGUGGCGAAAGCGGCGCGCUGGAUCCCACUGACGCUGAGGCACGAAAGCCAGGGGAGCAAACGGG
rnacentral:rRNA from 1 species